AUUGAACGCUGGCGGCAGGCCUAAAACAUGCAAGUCGAACGAGGGGCGGACGGGUGAGGAAUGUCUGGGAAACUGCCUGAUGGAGGGGGAUAAAAACGGGAACCGGUAGCUAAUACCGCAUACCAUCAGAUGUGCCCAGUGGGGAUUAGCUAGUUGGUGGGGUAACGGCUCACAAAGGCGACGAUCCCUAGCUGGGUUGAGAGGAUGACCAGACACACUGGAACUGAGCCACGGUCCAGACUCCGACGGGAGGCAGCAGUGGGGAAUAUUGCACAAUGGGCGCAAGCCUGAUGCAGCCAUGCCGCGUGUAUGAAGAAGGCCUUCGGGUUGUAAAGUACUUUCAGCGGGGAGGCGUUACCCGCAGAAGAAGCACCGGCUAACUCCGUGCCAGCAGCCGCGGUAAUAC
rnacentral:rRNA from 1 species